rnacentral:rRNA from 1 species
UUCCUCUUAGUUUAAGAGGUAAGGCCUGCUCACUGAAUUAUUUUAAAGAGCCGCAGUAUCCUAACUGUGCUAAGGUAGCAUAAUCAUUAGUCUUUUAAUUGGAGACUGGUAUGAAUGGCUAAACGAGAAAUUGACUUUUUUUGUUAUAAAUAAUUGAAUUUAAUUUUUUAGUGAAAAAGCUACAAUUAUUCAGAAAGACGAGAAGACCCUAUAGAGUUUUAUACUAAAUUGUUUAUUUUUCUUAUUUGAUUUUUUUGGAUAAAUAAAUGAAAAGUAUUUUGUUGGGGCGACAUUAAGAUAAAAAAAACUCUUUAUUUUUUUAAUUUUUAUAAAAAGAAAGUUUGAUCCUUUAUAAGAGAUUAAAAGAUAAAAUUACCUUAGGGAUAACAGCGUAAUCUUUUUUGAGAGUUCUAAUCGACAAAAAGGUUUGCGACCUCGAUGUUGGACUAAAAUUUAGGCAGGGUGCAGCAGUUCUGCUUUAAGGUCUGUUCGACCUAUAAUAUUUUAUACGAUCUGAGUUCAGACCGGCGUAAG